rnacentral:lncRNA from 1 species
CUAGCUAUCAUAUUUUUAAGUCUUUUGAAAAGACUACCCACAAGCUAUGGCUUUCACUUGAAGACAUCCAUGGAGUUCUUAUAGUCAGGCUUAUGGAAUCUGAUUCAACAUUCAGAAGGCAAAAUCCUGUCAUAUGACACACGAUAACUAAGUAUAAUCUGUCAAAUUAGGUAGGGUGCAUGUUGGGUCGAAAUCACUCUGCGAGAGCUUGCUUUCGUCCAAAACAUCUGAUGAUGUGUCCUCAACCAUCAAUAUGUUCCCAACUCUAGAGCUCCUUAGGUCAAGAUGCAUCCCUCGACUUUCAAAACUGCAUUUGUCUAGCUUCUGGCAGCUACAGGCAGAACUGAACUGUCGGAACAAUUCUGAUGGUGAAUCCCGUUAUAAGUCACUUUUGAUAACUAAUUAUGAGCUGUCACAUUAGAUCACAAAUUGGGUCAAAGUCACUCUGAUGCAAGCUUUCUUUCAUCCAAAACAUCUGAUUAUGCCAACUCAGCCAUUAAAGUGGUUGCCGACUCUAGAGGCUAAGUAGUCUAGGAGUCUAUUGUUGGUAUUACUUUCUCUUCAAGGCAUGAUUGGAGUAAAAUUUUAGUCGAGAUUAUAUGAUUUUAAGUGUCUAUUAGGUUUCUUAGUCCAUAUUGGAGAUGCGUGUCUGCUACCUAUCUUAGAGGCAAAUUAUUGAUAAAUACUGACAUAAAUUAGUCACAAGGACAGUGAAGGUUAAGCUGUCAAAAGGUAGCCACUUAAUUUAAAAUUCCUUCUGGUCUACAGAGAACUAGACCUCUUUGGAUGUGAAGGGGAUAGCAGCAGACUGCAGUGAUUUAAAGAAGUUUUCUGCUUUUUCUCUUUCUUGUUAGUUUUUUGGUCUUCCUUAGUAAUUUAGAUUUUAAUUCAAGGCUUAGUUUGAAACUCAUGGAAUAUCAUCUCAUCAUACCCUUAUCCACAUUCUCUUUCAAAAGUUCAUAUAUGAGAAGGAAUAGCAAGUUACCACUUGGUUUCCCUCCCAAUCUCCUUGGUAUGUUUCAGUAUAAGCUCUUUUUAAUAGUCAACUUUGACCAAACCAUGGAUGAAAAAAAGGGCCCAUUAGCAUGGUUGAUUGCAAGAUAUGUCCCAUGUCAAUGCCUUAUCGACAAAGAUCCAAGAUCAUGUCAUGAAACUUCAGUUACUUUAGUAACUUUAGUUGUCGAUUUGCAGUAUUUUCCUUUUAUUUUUGAUAUUCUUUAGUUUCCAGUUGGUAUUAUUGAAUCAAGGAUGGAGAUAAAAAGAUCUCAAAUUUUGUUUGACGACUUGAUGGGUCUAGUUACUAUGGCAGUCCCAUUUAUGUGGUACAUGAUGCGUCUCCUCACUUAUCAAAUAUCCGAAAUCUUUCACCUUCUCUUUCUCUUACUACUACAGUUUUGAUCUUUCUAUUUCUCUUCUUCAGUAUAAAGGGUCAGCAACAAAGAAGGUACUCAUCUUACACCUCUUCAUCUCCUCCUAUCUCGUUCAUCAAGGCAUCUUCACCCUACCAUUUCUUUUCUUAUUAAGAUUUGAUGUUUAGUUUUUCUAUUUUUCUUUUAUUGUUAGAUGUCAUGUGAAAUCAUAUUUUUUCUUGACAUAAAUUGAUGCUCUAUCAAUUGAUAAUAUUUUUUAAUUACUUUUCUUCUCUUCCAAGAGCAAAAGCUCUAUUUUUUCUUUUUUCCCUUUCCAUGUCCAAAUGAAUAUAAAUGAGACUACUGGCAUUUGAAAACUUAAGAUCUUUUGUAUUAGAUUUCUGCAUUUUCAGCCACUACAUGCUGAUGCCUCGCCUUUUUCAAUGUAUUUUAAC